rnacentral:rRNA from 1 species
GUAACACGUGUGCAACCAACCCCGUACCGGGAGAUAACCCGCGGAAACGUGGACUAACACCCCAUAACACCUUUCCCCCGUAUGGGGGAGAGUUUAAAAUCACGAUGGUACGGGACGGGCACGCGCGACAUUAGGUAGUUGGCGGGGUAACGGCCCACCAAGCCGACGAUGUCUAGGGGUCCUGAGAGGAAGGUCCCCCACACUGGAACUGAGACACGGUCCAGACUCCUACGGGAGGCAGCAGUGAGGAAUAUUGGUCAAUGGGCGAGAGCCUGAACCAGCCAAGUCGCGUGAGGGAAGAAUGGUCUAUGGCCUGUAAACCUUUUUUGUCAAGGAAGAAUAAGCGGCACGAGUGCCACCUUGCCAGUACUUGACGAAUAAGCAUCGGCUAACUCCGUGCCAGCAGCCGCGGUAAUACGGGGGAUGCGAGCGUUAUCCGGAUUUAUUGGGUUUAAAGGGCGCGUAGGCGGGACGUCAAGUCAGCGGUAAAAGACUGCAGCUAAACCGUAGCACGCCGUUGAAACUGUCGACCUGGAGACGAGACGAGGGAGGCGGAACAAGUGAAGUAGCGGUGAAAUGCAUAGAUAUCACUUGGAACCCCGAUAGCGAAGGCAGCUUCCCAGGCUCGAUCUGACGCUGAUGCGCGAGAGCGUGGGUAGCGAACAGGAUUAGAUACCCUGGUAGUCCACGCCGUAAACGAUGCUCACUGGAUCUUGGCGAUACACGGCCAGGGUUCAAGCGAAAGUAUUAAGUGAGCCACCUGGGGAGUACGUCGGCAACGAUGAAACUCAAAGGAAUUGACGGGGGCCCGCACAAGCGGAGGAACAUGUGGUUUAAUUCGAUGAUACGCGAGGAACCUUACCCGGGUUUAAAUGCAGGUUGCAUGAGGUGGAAACACCUCUUUCCCUCGGGACUACCUGCAAGGUGCUGCAUGGUUGUCGUCAGCUCGUGCCGUGAGGUGUCGGGUUAAGUCCCAUAACGAGCGCAACCCCUAUCGCCAAUUGCCAUCGGUUCAAGCCGGGCACUCUGUCGAGACUGCCACCGUAAGGUGCGAGGAAGGCGGGGAUGACGUCAAAUCAGCACGGCCCUUACACCCGGGGCGACACACGUGUUACAAUGGCCGGUACAGAGGGCAGCCACGGGGCGACCCGGAGCGAAUCUCUAAAGCCGGUCGUAGUUCGGACUGGAGUCUGCAACCCGACUCCACGAAGUUGGAUUCGCUAGUAAUCGCGCAUCAGC